rnacentral:tRNA from 1 species
GGCGGUAUGCACGUGGAGUGCGCGCGGCCUGUAAAGCCGCUGCCUAUGGCACUGGGGGUUCGAUUCUCUCUGCCGCCA